UAGGGAAUCUUCCACAAUGGACGCAAGUCUGAUGGAGCAACGCCGCGUGAGUGAAGAAGGUUUUCGGACCGUAAAGCUCUGUUGUUGGUGAAGAAGGAUAGAGGUAGUAACUGGCCUUUAUUUGACGGUAAUCAACCAGAAAGUCACGGCUAACUACGUGCCAGCAGCCGCGGUAAUACGUAGGUGGCAAGCGUUGUCCGGAUUUAUUGGGCGUAAAGCGAGCGCAGGCGGAAGAAUAAGUCUGAUGUGAAAGCCCUCGGCUUAACCGAGGAAUUGCAUCGGAAACUGUUUUCUUGAGUGCAGAAGAGGAGAGUAGAACUCCAUGUGUAGCGGUGGAAUGCGUAGAUAUAUGGAAGAAUACCAGUGGCGAAGGCGGCUCUCUGGUCUGCAACUGACGCUGAGGCUCGAAAGCAUGGGUAGCGAACAGGAUUAGAUACCCUGGUAGUCCAUGCCGUAAACGAUGAGUGCUAAGUGUUGGGAGGCUUCCGCCUCUCAGUGCUGCAGCUAAUGCAUUAAGCACUCCGCCUGGGGGAGUACGACCGCAAGGUUGAA
rnacentral:rRNA from 1 species